rnacentral:rRNA from 1 species
AUUGAACGCUGGCGGCAGGCCUAACACAUGCAAGUCGAACGAGUGGCGGACGGGUGAGUCAUGUCUGUGAACCUGCCUGAUGGAGGGGGAUAACUACUGGAAACGGUAGCUAAUACCGCAUACCUUCCGAUGUGCCCAGAUGGUAUUAGCUAGUUGGUGGGGUAACGGCUCACCAAGGCGACGAUCCCUAGCUGGUCUGAGAGGAUGACCAGCCACACUGGAACUGAGACACGGCCCAGACUCCUACGGGAGGCAGCAGUGGGGAAUAUUGCACAAUGGGCGAAAGCCGGAUGCAGCCAUGCCGGGUGUAUGAAGAAGGCCUUCGGGUUGUAAAGUACUUUCAGCGGGGAGGCGUUACCCGCAGAAGAAGCACCGGCUAACUCCGUGCCAGCAGCCGCGGUAAUUC